GAGACGCGCCUUCACUGUUUCUCUCUCGAAAAAGUGAUUGUCACCGGAAUUAAUCGGAACCUGGAUAGCCGUUCCUUCACGGGAUACCCGAGUCCCUCGACGUGUAUCGGUAGUGGCUGUUUGGCAUCGAUUGUACCAGGUUUUCUACCGGAUCUGCCAUCUUUUGGGAGAAAAAUUGUCAGUGCGAGAUGUUUCAAUAAGCGGAACCGGAAGGAAGAAUUCCUAGAUGUUCUCCAAAGGAAGAGCCAAAUUCAGAUCAGAAACGUAGGUUAGUUUUGAUUUCGCUGAAUUGGCGUUUCCGGAACAAGCUGUAUUCGCUUGUCGGGGGCUCGGCCGUUACCACAACCUCGAACGAGUCGGAUGAUUGGAGAUGGUUGUUGCUAAUCUUCAGCCAUGUCGCAUAAUCGGGAGAAUAAGCAUCCCAUGCACCAAAGAAACAACGAAAGCAGGAGAGCUCCUGGCAGCUCGUCAGUCCAGCAAAAGAACCAUCUCACUGGAUGAGCACCACAACGGCAGCAGCGAUAGCGAGUUCGGGCGGAAGAGCAGCAGUAAAAACAAAUUUGUUAAAGUGAUCGCUCAUGACGAGUGCUGAUGAAAAACAGCUACGAUUAUUGUCGGAAAGGUGGGCAACAUUUUUAUCGCCAAGGUAUGGACUCAGUAGGAAUAAAUUAUGAACGAGGAGGCAGAAAAACGUGGCGGUCAACACCAUCAACACAGCCAUGUAGAGAUUUCCAUGCCAUCUUUCUCUCCGCCGAUAUCGCAACAGCAUUUUGAAGGACUUAAGAAAAGAUUUUCAAAUGUCCAUUCGUGAUUUCUUUACACGAUGAAGCCCGCAUCUGGCCUUCUGGACUCACCGCAACUGACGAUAAAUCGGAAAAAAUCUCCAUCGGUAACGUCGCACAUUUCGAAAGGGUAAUCGGAACCUGGAAACGAUCUGCCCUCUCCCGUAGAGAUUGUUAAAAAAUAUUCUGGAACCUAUAGUAGGGGUUGAUGUCAUAAGCAUUGACCCUCUCACAAAGGGGAUUUCGCUUGUUAAGUGUUGUACCUUUUUUAAAUUUAUUUGGUGCUAUGGAUUUUAACAGCUGGAUAUCAUUCAUCCCCAAUUUAAUACCUACAUAUUUAAAAGCUACCUAAAAUUGAAGAAAUUGAAAAAAUAUCCAGGAGCGUAGAGGAUUAGGUAGUAAUCAUUCCAAUAGAUGUGAAAAUAGAAACACAGCAUUUCAAUACAGAGUUGAAAUUCCUUAACAGAUAUGAAGAUAUUUGAAAAUUGAGAUUUAAAACUGGUUGUAAGAAUUGAUAUUUGUUAUUGACAUAGUUUUUUGACUGUAUACUCAGAAAUAGUAUAGAAAAUUUAAUAUACAAAAAGGCACUUACGUCAGAAGUCGCAUGAAAACCAACUUCGAAAAAAAUGAAGUACAAAAUACAGAAAGCUAAAUGAGAAAAAAAUAUUCCAAGUCAUGUUCCGAAAACCAUGAGAUAUGUAUUGGAUCCGUAGAUCUUUUUUUGAUAAAUCGUAAUUAGACAUUUAUAAAAAAUCAUUUGCUAAACAAAAGCAAUAUCUGUUGGAAAUUUUGAACAUCAUUUAAAUUUUUUGCAAAAUCUUUUAUUUUAUAACGUCUGCACAAUAGCAAAUUUAAAAUUAGUUUUGUGUCUAUUAGUUUAGGACAGGAUUGUAAUAACCCUAUUUGCGAGAAAGGUACUCGGUGAAGGUACUGAUUUGUGAUAAAAAAUAGAUUUUCAUAGUUUUACAGAUAGAGUAAUCUAGACACUACAUUCAGUAAUAAUUCUAGUAUUAUAGGUACUCAGCAAUGUAUUCCAAGGACUGCCCAAUGUAAAAUUAUCACCAAAUUGGUGAUACGAAUGAUAUGAUUUGUUAAUUAAGCAAAAAACUAAUGUAAAUAAUCGAAACCCAUAUUAGAAUAAAAUAUAUUAUUUUAAACGAUUUUAAACAUGAAUAAUUUUCUUCUUUAUUAUUUAUCGUAAAAUGAUCCUUUGAAGAUACGCGUUAUCAUCCGUAAUGAUUCAAGUCGACGAUAAGAUAACGAUUACAUCUAUCGUUUUACUUCAUUUAGGAUCUAUAGAAAAAAGCAAAAAAAUGAAUCGUUCAUCCCGCAUGAAGCCAUAUCAUACAGUUAACUAUUCCCAUUAUCUUCUACCCAAGACACCCAAAAGAUUACCUUUAUAGUUUCCGGAUUAUUAAUGAACGAUUGAACAAAUCGUUUUUUCAUCAAAUGGAAUCGUUUAG